UCGGGAAUUUUGGGCAAUGGGCGAAAGCCUGACCCAGCAACGCCGCGUGAGGGAUGAAGUAUUUCGGUAUGUAAACCUCGAAAGAAUGGGAAGAAUAAAUGACGGUACCAUUUAUAAGCUCCGGCUAACUACGUGCCAGCAGCCGCGGUAAUACGUAGGGAGCGAGCGUUGUUCGGAUUUACUGGGCGUGAAGGGCGCGUAGGCGGCGCGGUAAGUCACUUGUGAAAUCUCUGAGCUUAACUCAGAACGGCCAAGUGAUACUGCUGUGCUAGAGUGCGGAAGAGGCAACCGGAAUUCUUGGUGUAGCGGUGAAAUGCGUAGAUAUCAAGAGGAACACCUGAGGCGAAGGCGGGUUGCUGGGCCGACACUGACGCUGAUGCGCGAAAGCCAGGGGAGCAAACG
rnacentral:rRNA from 1 species